UGCACUAAUCAGAUUGUUGUAACAUAAAAGUAACAUGAAAGCUUACAUAUUUAACAAAGCAAAUGCCUAAACAAUUGUAUACCCACUAAUAAACUCAUAUAAUCUCUAAGAUGAAAAAACAGUAAGAAAUAAACAUAUUAAAUGUUUAAAAAAACAGUUAAAGCGUUUACACACGUACCCAAAUAUGUGAAGAAGAAGGUGUUUAACAGAACUGUCAAGAUUGAAGUAAAGUUACAACGUACAAACAUCCCUAUUCAAUCCAAAAUCACCAGCAAAUGGAAAGAGAACAUGUACUAAUAUGAACUAUUAGCAGUGGAAAAAGAUAAAAAUUAGGUUCUUCUCUUAGGCAUUUACACGAACACCUUGUAAGCAUUACCUGUAACUAAAAGUAACACUUGUCGAGCCUCUAUUUUUGUCUUCCCCAUCACGUUUGCCUUUAGAGACAAAUCAAACGUUUUUAUUGAAAUCUUGAAAAGCAUUCUUGGACAUCGAGAUCAAGUGAUUUUCUAUUGUUUGGUGAACGCAAAUCAUAUGCAAAAGAUGGCCCUUUGGAUUAUCACACAGUCUCCACUUCCAUAAAAAAUCUCUGUAAUAAAGACACGAGUAAAAAGAAAUUAGAGAGAGUAAUGUAUCUCCUUGAUUUCAAGAUGAUUAGCCUAAUAGAAAUUCAUAUAGACUACAAUAUUACAAGUUUGAGCAAUUAGAUAAUGAGAAAAGCAGAGAAUAAAAAAUUGAGAUAUGAGUGAAAGCAAAGCACAUAAAUGCUAUCAUUGAACCCAUUUGUGAUCUGCUUAAUCCCCAUCCAGGUGAGUUGUCCAGACCACUUUCUAACAGAAAACAAUAAACUUCACUUUUUAAAUCAGAAUAAACAUCACCAAGAGACCUGAAAGUGAAAACCAUAAAUAAUGUAGUGCUACUUAUCAUAACCCAGAUCAUAAAUGACGGAGAGAAUAUACGAACUAACCGUGACAAUAUCAGAUUAAAAAAAAACUUUCAAUAGAUAAAGAGUUCAUAAUAAGAAGAAAAAAAAAUUAGGGUUCAAGACUUAGACCUAUCCAUGGAUGGAUUCCAGAUUAGCAUUCAGACAAACAAAAAAUAAUAGAGUUGUAAUUUGGCGUUCAAAUUUACCUUUUUAGCAACCUACGAGGCAGUAUCUCCCCUUUUGCUUUCACCCCAUGAAGAACGAAUAUAAUCUUGAGGAGUAAAGAAAAGAUUAAAUUGAAUCCAAUAUGACAUAACGCAAAACUAAUUAAAAUUAAUGAAAAUGAUGAAGACGAUGGACAGGGCGGGGAAAGGAAGUAUCAACAAUCAGAUCGUGACCGGACGCAUACUAAGAAUAGAAGAUUAGAGACACAUGAGUGAAUCUUAACUGAAAUAAGAGAGACGAACGUGAAGGAGAUGCUUAGCUUUGUUGGAGAUGAACGUGCGUUCGAGUUAUAUACGAAGUUGGCAAAAGGCCAAUUCAAAUUUGGAGAUUGAAUCCUGAUUUCUUGCUAUUAGUGUGCUGAUUUAUCGAUGAUCGUUGAUUUCUUGCUAUCAGCAUUUGAAAUUUCAAUUUCAGGAAAUUAGGAACAAAAUCAAAGAUAAGAAUUUUGAAAAUUUUGAUUUCAUCUUAGCAGCCGGAUUAUAAAACGUAUCUAACGAAAUGGGCAAUUUCAUCUUAGCAGCCGGAUUAUAAAACGUAUCUAAUGAAAUGGGCGAAUUUCAGUUAGAAACUUUGAGCGGGAAAAAAAGCUUGAGAUGGGCUGAACAAUUGCCACGUGGCAUUUUGGUACUGUUUUAUUAUAAUAGG
rnacentral:lncRNA from 1 species